UUUUAUUUUAUAAAACAAUAUUUCUUUAAUAAGCCAUUUCUUGAUGCCUUUUAGUGCCGUAUCCAGCCUUAUGAUAAUUACCUGAAACAUGUUUGAAAAAGGUUUUGUCAGCGGGGAUGCUGAGUGAAUUCAUUCCAUUUUUAUACAAAUAUAUUGUUAUACCUUACAGUAUUAAGGUUUUAUAUUUAUUUGCAUUUACCUUACUCAAUCAGUAUUUUGUCACAUAAUAGCAAUUCCAAUAUAACAGCAAUAAUAUCACUCAUUGGUUUACUUUCAUCCAAUAGUGAAUUAAUCAAAUAACCAUACUUUACUGUUAUUCAAUUUAUCUAUCAUUAGGCAAUUCCUAUGACUGGGUCAUAUCACUGUUGAUCAUUCUUUCAACUAGUGGCUCUGACCAUAUCACUUGUUCAUAACACUGUUGAUCAUUCUUUCAACUAAGGUCUUUGGUCAUAUCGCUGUUGAUCAUUCUUUCAACUAGCGAUUCUAUUCAUGGCACUGUUGAUCAUUCUUUCAACUAGUGCUUCUGGUCAUUAUCACUGUUGAUCAUUCUUUCAACUAGUGAUUUUAAUUAUAACACUGUUGAUCAUUCUUUCAACUAGUGUCUUUGGACAUAUCACUGCUGAUCAUUCUUUCAGCUAGUGACUUGGGACAUAAUGAUGUCUUAUUACUUUGUCAAAUAUAUUACCUCUAGUACUAAAUCAUGCAAUUCAGAAUAAUGACAUGUUAUGUCAAUUAUUAUAACUUAUCAAAACAUAUUAAUUCACUAAUUGUAAUAUCAGUGUAUAGUGAUCUGACUACAUAAUAAUUUAAUGUUAAGAAUAAUAUUAGUUAUAAUUGUGGUCAUGCUAACUUUCUGGGAAAUAGCAAUGAGAAUCAAAUAAUGUAUAAUACCUCCCAUACCAGUAGUUAUUUAUAAAAUAUAAUAACUUAAUCACUGUAAGUAUAACUGGUAACCAUUUAGGAUGUUUAGAAAUCAAUUUGCAAUGUAAUUGUUUUUACGAAAAAGGUGAUAAAACUGUGAUAAAAGAGUAUGGACUCACAAACGGUGAUAAAACUGUGAUAAAAGAGUAUGGACUCACAAACGGUGAGAAAAGAGAAAUGAACUCACAGUGCAGAUUUCUACGGGCAAGGUUUAGUCUACAGAUAAGCCUUGAUAUAUUGCUGAUUCAAUUUGGGCAGAGUCUAGUCUACUGAUUAGCCUAAUUCACACAAACGGGGUUGUAACUAAUACAGCAAUUACGACAAUUCACGAGAUUAAACCUUCACAACAAUUAAUCAGUGCAAUACUCGAUAAUUCAAUCAGAUUCACAACGAAUAACAGAGCAUAGUCCGAAUUCGAACAGCACUCUAAUAUUCAAGUCGAAAUCAUGACGAAUAAUCAAAGUACAGGCUCGAUUGAGCAGCACCUGGACUAUUGUUGGAUAGUUAUAAUCGAUCGGACGUUGAAUCGUAAUAGCGAUCAAGUUAUACCCUGAUUGUGGCAGCACUUCGUGAAUCGUGUGUGUUUUUGUAGUAAAUAGUGUAUAACUUCGUCUACGAAGUGAAUUUCUUCGUCGAAUUAACACCAAAAUGCAAGUGCCAGACCCUUCUAUUUAUACCCAAAAUUUGACCCUGUCGCGUAGCGCGAGG
rnacentral:lncRNA from 1 species